rnacentral:rRNA from 1 species
UACAGAGGUCCCGAGCGUUGUUCGGAUUCACUGGGCGUAAAGGGUGCGUAGGUGGCCUGAAAAGUUUGAUGUGAAAGCUCAGGGCUUAACCCUGAAAUGGCAUUGAAUACUGUCGGGCUGGAGGUUUGGAGGGGGGACUGGAAUUCUUGGUGUAGCAGUGAAAUGCGUAGAUAUCAGGAGGAACACCGGUGGCGAAGGCGGGUCCCUGGACAACACCUGACACUGAGGCACGAAAGCUAGGGGAGCAAACAGG